GUGCCAGCAGCCGCGGUAAUACGUAGGGUGCAAGCGUUAAUCGGAAUUACUGGGCGUAAAGCGUGCGCAGGCGGUUUUGUAAGACAGUGGUGAAAUCCCCGGGCUCAACCUGGGAACUGCCAUUGUGACUGCAAGGCUAGAGUGCGGCAGAGGGGGGUGGAAUUCCGCGUGUAGCAGUGAAAUGCGUAGAUAUGCGGAGGAACACCGAUGGCGAAGGCAAUCCCCUGGGCCUGCACUGACGCUCAUGCACGUAAGCGUGGGGAGCAAACAGGAUUAGAU
rnacentral:rRNA from 1 species